rnacentral:rRNA from 1 species
AAACCGUUGAAAGGGAAGCGAAUGGAGUUAGCAAUUCGCCCUGCCAGAUUCAGUUGUUCGCACUUCGCGACGUGCACGCUCUCGAUCCGCAUGGACGAGACGUGCACGGACGCGACGUGUGGACGGCGCACUUCUGGCGGGCGAGCGUCAGCGUCGGUCGUCGACGGGCGACAAGGUCGCGAGGAAGGUAGACGUGCCUUCGGGCGCGUUGUUAAGACUCGCGUUCGCAUGGCUCGACGACGACCGUGGCUCCUUCAUGCGGAGGCGACGCGUGCCUGGCUGGCGACUCGUGCGAUCGGUCCGGCAUGUCGACCGUGGCGGACGGCACGCCUGUGCGCUCGAACUGCUGCCGGUCGCUCGCACGAUGUUCGCACACUACGCGUCGAAGACGCUGACGACCAUACGGCUCCAUCCGACCCGUCUUGAAACACGGACCAAGGAGUCUAACAUGUGCGCGAGUCUCCGGGUGAUCGAAACCCGUGGGCGCAAUGAAAGUAAAGGCCGUCCAAGACGGCUGAGGUGAGAAGCGCGCGUCUUCUCGACGCGCGCCGCAUCAUCGACCGACCUAUUCUGCUCUCAGAGAGGUUUGAGUAAGAGCGUAUCUGUUGGGACCCGAAAGAUGGUGAACUAUGCCUGAAUAGGGUGAAGCCAGCGGAAA